UUGNUANUGGACGCAGUCUGAACCAGCCAUGCCGCGUGAAGGAUGAAGGUCCUCUGGAUUGUAAACUUCUUUUAUAUGGGACGAAACCCCCCGAUUCCUCGGGGAUUGACGGUACCAUAGGAAUAAGCACCGGCUAACUCCGUGCCAGCAGCCGCGGUAAUACGGAGGGUGCAAGCGUUAUCCGGAUUCACUGGGUUUAAAGGGUGCGUAGGAGGGCAGGUAAGUCAGUGGUGAAAUCUCCGAGCUUAACUUGGAAACUGCCGUUGAUACUAUCUGUCUUGAAUAUUGUGGAGGUGAGCGGAAUAUGUCAUGUAGCGGUGAAAUGCUUAGAUAUGACAUAGAACACCAAUUGCGAAGGCAGCUCGCUACACAUAUAUUGACUCUGAGGCACGAAAGCGUGGGGAUCAAACAGGAUUAGAUACCCUGGUAGUCCACGCCCUAAACGAUGGAUACUCGACAUACGCGAUACACAGUGUGUGUCUGAGCGAAAGCAUUAAGUAUCCCACCUGGGAAGUACGACCGCAAGGUUGAAACUCAAAAAAAUUGACGGA
rnacentral:rRNA from 1 species